UCUACACUAUUUUAGAAGCUUUAAAUUUUAUAACUAAAGAUGAAAAUAUAAUUUAAAGCUAUCACAAAACUUUUCAGUAUUGAAACCAUAUUUCUCGACACUAUUUGAAGGUGGGCUCAAAUACGAUUGUUUAGAGCCUCAAGUCUAUACAAACCGCACCUAUUUAGGAUAGGGAUGUAACCUCUUGAACCUAAAGAUCAACCUCAAAUAAAAGAAAAAUUCAAAAUUUUGGAGGGUAGAAUCUAAGUGUUGCAUAACUCAAAGUCUAAUUUCUUUUAAAAAAUAAUUAUCUAAUGAUUCUUAUGAAGAUCCCAAAAUUUCAAAUAAGAACUUU
rnacentral:lncRNA from 1 species